UACGAAGGGGCUAGCGUUGCUCGGAAUCACUGGGCGUAAAGCGCACGUAGGCGGACUCUUAAGUCGGUGGUGAAAUCCUGGAGCUCAACUCCAGAACUGUCUUCGAUACUGAGAGUCUUGAGUCCGGGAGAGGUGAAGUGGAACUGCGAGUGUAGAGGUGAAAUUCGUAGAUAUUCGCAAGAACACCAGUGGCGAAAGGCGGC
rnacentral:rRNA from 1 species